rnacentral:rRNA from 1 species
GACAGAGGAUGCAAGCGUUAUCCGGAAUUACUGGGCGUAAAGCGCGCGUAGGUGGUUUGUUAAGUUGGAUGUGAAAUCCCCGGGCUCAACCUGGGAACUGCAUCCAAAACUGGACAAGCUAGAGUAUGGUAGAGGGUGGUGGAAUUUCCUGGUGUAGCGGUGAAAUGCGUAGAUAUAGGAAGGAACACCAGUGGCGAAGGCGACCACCUGGACUGAGUACUGACACUGAGGUGCGAAAGCGUGGGGAGCAAACAGG